AGCUAUUACUCUGUUUCCAGUCUUUAUGCUAAGCUAAGCUAACCUUCUCCUGGCUCCAGCUACUUAUUUACCGUACGGAUAUGAGAGUCAAUCUUCUUGUAUCUUGCAAAGAAAGCAGAUUUCCCAAAAUGUCAAACUAUUCCUUUAAGGUCACAUGUGAUGUGUGCUGCAAUGUGCUACACUAUGAUAUUUAUUUGUUGGAAUUAUCUCUGCUAGGCGUAAGCCUGUGUGUGCUUGUGUGUAUCUGUCUGUCCGUCUGCAGCUAAUCUUGCAUACUUCUGAACCCAUCAGCAUAAUAUUUUCUGUGCACAUUUACGACAGUAAGCUCAAGGACCUCUCGUGGUUUUGGUGAUUCACAAUAUUUGAAACGUUUUAUUGACGGUUUUCAGCCGUUAUUGACUGCUGACUCCUCACUCCUCUUAAGUGGUCGGUUGGGGCUGCAAGUGAUCAACAACUGCUUCCGUAGCAAAAUGGAUUCCAGAUGAAUAAAUCCCCGGGACACUUGAGUGAGAUUCACCUCGUCUUUGUUUGGGAGCGGAGAGGGAGACACACCUGGCGGAGAUCUGGGGAGAAUGUCCAGUUUAGGAGGAUUUAGGUCUCAGAGCAACUCUGAGCAAGGAAGGGACAGAAAGAGUUUUUGAAAAGAGGACACUGAGCAUGAUGAAUAAUGCAAGGGGCCUCCUCGAUCGUCGCUACCAACAUGCCACGGCAUGUUUUAUUCACACUAAAGUCAGACAGAUCUCCACCCUCGCCGCUGCCCGGAUCCGUGAGCCGGCCGUCGGCCUUAAAGACAUCAGCAUCAGCUCAGUGUGUCUGCUCGCUCAGUCUCCUUGACCCUCACGUCCCUGCAGAGGAGAGCCCGUUUUUAAUGGAAGUACAGAGCUGGAGGUUCUCUAACUGCGACUUCCCUGUGGCUCGAAGACAAAGAACACCACACAAUGUUUACCUGUAACAAAUGUUUACUCAGACCUCAGUCCUCAAGACGGUGUUGCCACAUCAGAGUUUUUCACCCUUAUCUGGCAGCCCGAUCACCUGCGCUCAUUACUUAUGGCACGGUCCGAGAGGCGGCUUUGGUCACGCGUUACCGACCCUCCAUGGCCACGUCAGCGAGGGAUGACAGCCCCUACGGGACUCUUGUCUACGUGCCUUUCUGAAGUACUUGAUUUAUUAUUCAUCGGUGUUCCCGAUGGGGCUGCACAGUCAUUAGCAGGAAGGUCCCAGGUUCAAUUCCUUUGCUUUCUGUGCAGGUUUUGAUCCCAUUUUGUCCCACAGUCCAAAGGCAUUCAGCUCAGACGGACUGGAGACUGUUUUCAACCAUAUCAACCUCCUCAAGGGCUGGAAAAAGAUCAAACGGAGACGUUAUGGUACAAAGCCGACGCCAAACUUAACUUUCACCAACAAUAACAUCUUGCAUCAUCCCGUCUCUCUUUAGUAUGCAUCCCCCAAAAAACGAUCCCUCACCUCUGCGUGGUGAAACGUCCAGUGUCCAGAUGGUCCGUCAUGGCAGCCUCUUCAUCCUUGGAAGGAUCGUUAAGUGCUAAGAUUGGCUGUUACCAAGCACAAAUACUCUUAUAGAAUACAAGCAGGUUUACCCGAAAUCCAUGUAACAUUAUGACAUUUUUGAUUUUCCGAUUGCAUCUCACUGAUACACCUCAGUGAUGUUAAUGGCAUGUUUUCACUAAUGUUUCCUUGUUUGCUCUUGAUAACAGAACAUAUUCAAACAUGCUCUGUUUACAUGCAGUAAAUGGGUCAAAGGCAAGUCAAUGUUUUGGACUGUUUUAACUCUUUAGAUCCCUUCACCCUCUUUAUGAUACGUUUAGGACUAGGCCACACAUACACGUGUUCCAGUACGUCUUAAAACAUAACUUUUUCUAGCUUAUGUUUUAGCGGCGUCCUCUCCUUUGUCGCCACAAAUGAGGCGACUAUUCGUGCACUGGCUUACGUGACAAUCUCUUAACCAUAAAACAUGAUCUUAAAAGCCUCAUCUCUUCUAAAGUUCAAAUAAAACAUAGUCAACUGUUUGAAACACAGACAAUAAGCAGUUAUGAAAGAUCACUGUAAGCAGCAUCAUUUGGAGAGUGGCGUAGCAGCAGUAGAGACUAUAGAUGUGUUUCCAUCAAUCUUAAGCGCAUUUUCUAUUUCUUUUAUGCCAAUUUUCUCAAAAUGAUAACCCAAAUGACACACUUAGCUCUUAGUAAUUAGAUAAAGAAGGCAUUUUGUCUUAGAAAAAUAUAUUUGAACAUAUUUUCAUAAAAGAUGACAGUCUCAAAAGUACCAAUAUUCAUCUAUCCUCUACGCUAACUUUACAUUAUCACAACACCUCUUGGUAUAAACAUAAUGCUGCCUGGAUUAUGUUAUUAUGUGUUUUUUGAGUAUGUAUGAAGAUGAGUUGUAAAGGGAGCUGGUGCCCCUAAUGAACACCACACACCAUAUGACAACCAUAUUUAAAGACCCUUAAAGCACUCAAUCAUGUCUAACAUGCCUUAUUUUAUGGAUUAUGGAUGCUGAAAUGCCCUUUACACCCAACAAGGAGCCUCCUGGGACUCUCAGAAUCUGCUCCUGUCAGAGUUUAGUAAAUAAAAGCCUGAAAACAGA